rnacentral:lncRNA from 1 species
CAGGAUAAUAGACCGUCUCUACAAUCACAUUAAUCAGCGCUAAACAAUUUGGUAGGAAUUUUUUUUUGCUCGUUCCCUCCAAAAAGAUCAAUCUUUCCAACUUUUUACCUCAUUCAUGCGGAUUUUUUUUAUCUCCCUUGGAACUCGGAAGUAGUUACGAUAUUAUCUAAGAGAACAAACCCCUCUCCUUCUCUUGUAAAAUCUGUUCCAAUCUUUCCAUUAGCUCCACCGUGAAGACGGCGGCCUCUCGCGUAUGAGCCCCAUGGCCGCCGCCUGUGCCGUCUGGGCUCAGCGCCGCCGGCGACGCCUGGGCUGCGCACCUACUACCCACGCCAUCGCCGCCUGCGCCGUCCGGGGUGAACGCCGCCUGUGCCGCCUAGCACCCACCGUCCACCCAUCGCCGCCUGUGCCUUCCAGGCUGAGCGCCGCUGGCGCCGCCAGAGAUGCAUGGCCCCCGCGUCAUCCGCCAGCCACACACCCAUCGUUUGCCCCACAGCAGCAGCAUCGACACGCCGCAGAUUCAUCGGUGAUUUUCUUCCUGGUGACUGGCAUGUAACUUUGCAUAUUUGUGCAACUGUAAUUUGGUCAUCGUAGAGGAUAUUUACAACAGCUAGCAGCUAAGGGAAACAUCAGUAUAAUUUGUAGAACUUGUGCAAAUGGCAGCAAGGUCCCAAAGACUGCAAGGCUUGGAUUUUUCAGAGAAUGGAGUACAGAAUCAAGAAAUGGUCCCAAAUGAUCACUAUGUUGAAGAACAGAACAUAACAAACGCAGAAUGGCGUUCAAACUGCUAUGAGUAUCAUCCUGAUGGCCGCAUUAAAAGACGUCGAGGACCAACUAAACUGGCAAAUGUUGAAAAUCUUCCGGAAGGUGUUAAGAUUAUUGUCAAAUUGGAUCGUUUCAAUGCACCUUGCUCACAAUCUUCUAUAGUUCUUGGAUCCUAUUUAGGAACACUUGUUAGGAAGCCACAUCUAGCUCCACUGAACAUUCUUAAAUGGAAUGAUAAACUUUAUAAGAGAAUAUAUCAUCCAAAAUUGAUUUCUGAAGUACAGAGAAAGUUUGCAAUUGAUGGAAGAGCUAAGGAUUGGCUUCUCCACCAGUUAGAUGGAAAAUGGAGGCAAUACAAGUCAAAUCUGAAGAAAAAGUAUUACAAGGCUAACUUACCCAUGGAACGAGUAUUGCAAAUGGUACCCCAAACUGUUAAUGAAUCUCAAUGGCCUACACUAGUUUCUUACUGGUACUCAGAGGACUCUAAGAAAAUCAGUGAUCAAAACCAAGAGAAUGCACAAAAUAUUAAGCAUCCACACAAAUUAGGAAGAAAGAGCUUUGCAAGAAAGAGGAAAGAGCUGGAACAUGAUAGAGUGGAGGUGGACAGAGCAACCUUCUUUGAUGAAUGCCAUAAGACAAAAGAUGGCAGAUAUGUUAAUGAUGCUACACAAGACAAAAUGAAUGAGGUAUAUAUGAAAUUGGCUGAGAAAAGAGUAGAUGGCCAAGAACUCACUGAAGCUGAUUUUGAACAAGCUAUGUUAGAAGUGUUUGGAAAGGAUCAUAGUGGUAGAGUUAGAGGCAUGGGUCCAACCAUUACUCCAACAAACUAUUAUGGUGGAAGAUUUUUGAAUAUGUCAGGAAGAAGUGAACAAGGGAGUAGCUCCAGUAAUGUAAAUGGCUUCAUUAGUUUUAUGGUAUCAUAUCUUGCUGAGAAAUAUCCAGAAGAUAAUUUGAUGUCUAGGCUGCCACCUUCACUUUGCUAGGCUCAUUCCAAGACAAGAGGUUGAUUAGAACCAAGGAAGUUAGUCAUCAAAUAAUCCUCCAUUCUAUCCUCUCUUCAGUUUGAUCCAAAUUUAACCAAGGAAGCCAGACACCAAAUACUACUCCAUCGUCUAGUACUACAGCAUCAUCUCAGACUUGAAGUGAAGAGGACUGAUUUACAAUGGCGACUGCAUCAUUUCGCACUACUUGUUGCAUUAGAAUUAGCACUUGCUGCUGCCGGAAACAUAUUUAAGUUUUCUCGUCGGGAACAAUGUAUGGAUAUUGCUUUUUCUUUAAUGCUAAGCUACUAGUGUUGAAAAUAUUAUCAAUGUGGUAUGAUGGUAACUCAGUCUGCUGAUAUUAUUGUGUUUAUGGAUUUUCUGAAUGAAAUGUUUGGCAUAUGUGACUAAUAGCGCUAGAUGCGGGUAUUAUUUGUUAAUUAGACACUGUGUAGAGACGGGUG